rnacentral:lncRNA from 1 species
AGAUAUUUCUCAUUCUUAUUUUUUUGCAUUGUCUUUAAAACCCUGUAUAUUUUCCAUUUAUGGUACCUUUCAAUUAAGUGUAGCCAUAUUUCAAGCGCUCAAUAAGCACACCUGGCUAGUGGUAUUGGAUAGCAGUUAUAGAGUCUGAACUUCUUUUAAAGUUGUCUUUUUACUUAGCGAGGGUUUUAUAAUACUGUACAACAGCUGAUAAAGUGAGAUGUACAAAUAGGUAGAUAGAAAUGAUUAGCUUAUAGUCUUGAAGGAACCAGGGGAGAGGUUUGUAUUGGGUGUGAUAAAUGAAUAUGUAGAUUUAAUUGAAGUUCUGAAGUUAGGAAGCAGGAUGAAACCCUAAGACUUCAAAGAGUAAAGCCUUGGAAAAUUCCUAGAAAAGGAGACUGUUGUAAAACAGCGAAAACCCAUCAGCUGGAGGAGAACUGUAAGGCAGUGGUGCAGUGGAAACCAGCAGGAGGUAAUUUCAAAGAGACAGGUUAAUAGAAGUGCCCCAUGCCAUAGUACAGUGAAGAAUGAAAGUGCACAACUGGUUGGUUUUGUCCAACCUGAGUAGCUAUUUCAGUAAAGACAGGAAAAUCAAGAUGUGUUAAUUGAGCAUUGAAUGGAAGUUGAAGUAAAGACAAUGAACAUCCAUUAUUGUUUUUGGAAGUUUGAUAGGGAUAGUUGGUAAUAAGUAUAUUAUUGGCAGAGGAGAAGGAGCCAGUGAAGAGGACAAGAUUGGAGCUAGAGGUAAAGAAGGAAAAUGAUGGACGAAAUUCCUAGAAAUGGCAGAAUAAAUAGGAUUCAGUACACAGGUAGAGGGUAUAGUAGUGGAAAAAAAAGAGGGACAACCAUG